rnacentral:rRNA from 1 species
UACGUAGGGGGCAAGCGUUGUCCGGAAUCAUUGGGCGUAAAGAGCGUGUAGGCGGCCAGAUAAGUCCGCUGUGAAAACUCGAGGCUCAACUUCGAGCUGUCGGUGGAAACUAUUUGGCUAGAGUCCGGAAGAGGAGAGUGGAAUUCCUGGUGUAGCGGUGAAAUGCGCAGAUAUCAGGAGGAACACCAACGGCGAAGGCAGCUCUCUGGGACGUAACUGACGCUGAGACGCGAAAGCGUGGGGAGCAAACAGG